CGCACAAGCGGUGGAGUAUGUGGUUUAAUUCGAUGCAACGCGAAGAACCUUACCAGGGCUUGACAUGUCCGGAACCCUGGCGAAAGCUAGGGGUGCCUUCGGGAGCCGGAACACAGGUGGUGCAUGGCUGUCGUCAGCUCGUGUCGUGAGAUAUUGGGUUAAGUCCCGCAACGAGCGCAACCCUCGUUCUUAGUUGCCAUCAUUAAGUUGGGCACUCUAGGGAGACUGCCGGUGACAAACCGGAGGAAGGUGGGGAUGACGUCAAGUCAUCAUGCCCCUUACGUCCUGGGCUACACACGUACUACAAUGGGAAGGACAGAGGGCAGCCACUUCGCGAGGAGGAGCUAAUCCCGUAAACCUUUCCUCAGUUCAGAUUGCAGGCUGCAACUCGCCUGCAUGAAGGAGGAAUCGCUAGUAAUCGCAGGUCAGCAUACUGCGGUGAAUCCGUUCCCGGGCCUUGUACACACCGCCCGUCACACCAUGGAAGUUAGCCAUGCCCGAAGUCAUUACUCUAACC
rnacentral:rRNA from 1 species